GACGAACGCUGGCGGCGUGCCUAAUACAUGCAAGUCGAACGCAGUGGGGACGGGUGAGUAACACGUGGGUAACCUCCCAUCAGAGGGGAUAACCCUUGGAAAAAGGUGCUAAACCGAUAUGGUUGGAUGGAACCGCGGUGCAUUAGCUAGUUGGUGAGGUAACGGCUCACCAAGGCCACGAUGCAUAGCCGGGCGGAGAGGGGGAUCGGCCACACUGGGACUGAGACACGGCCCAGACUCCUACGGGAGGCAGCAGUGGGGAAUCUUCGGCAAUGGACGAAAGCCUGACCGAGCAACGCCGCGUGAGUGAAGAAGGUGUUCGGAUUGUAAAACUCUGUUGUUAGAGAAGCGUUAUCGAACCAGAAAGCCACGGCUAACUACGUGCCAGCAGCCGCGGUAAUAC
rnacentral:rRNA from 1 species